rnacentral:lncRNA from 1 species
GUAUGUAUGUUGUUACGGGUGGUUAACUUCGCCAGCGGCCCCCUUUCCCGGGGCAGUCCCUGCUCUCCCCUGCUAGAGGGGCACCCUAAUCCGUCACCCCAUCCGACUUCAGAAUGUAUUCGUUGGGUUCGGCAACUCACCACCAGCAUCCAACCAAAUCUAGCGGAUCAACGGCGCAUCAACUUAGUUCCUGGUCAGCUCGCAAGUUGAUAUUAUCACGUCCUACACCGUCCAUAUGAUGGGGGGCCACCUCCCAUUUCAUCACUCCUCAAACACCCGAGGAGCUGGCAGGCGGAUUUGAACCCGGGUCGACUGGAUCGACUGGGAGCAGAAGUCAGGCCUUAACUUCUGCCAGCCGCCUGCCAUAUCGUGUAUCACGUGUAUGCUUUGCAAGGACGCAAGUCUCACACACACACGCGCUGGCUGAUUGUAUGCUGUGUCGGUCAACAUCGAACCCAGUUACCAUGUUGUGACGCAGCAACGCCUCAAGGUUGCUGUAUCCCAAGUGGCCAUACCGUCGGUGCCAAAGUGCUGCACGUUCAGCUCCGAUA